UGACUUCAAGCUGACUUCUAUGUCACGAA
rnacentral:piRNA from 1 species